rnacentral:rRNA from 1 species
GCUAAACGCGAAGAACCUUACCGCCCCUUGACAUCCCUGGAACCCUUUAGAAAUAGACCUUUCCUUCGGGACAGAGGAGACAGGUGGUGCAUGGUUGUCGUCAGCUCGUGUCGUGAGAUGUUGGGUUAAGUCCCGCAACGAGCGCAACCCUUGAUUCUAGUUGCCAGCACUUCGGGUGGGCACUCUAGAGUGACUGCCGGUGACAAACCGGAGGAAGGCGGGGAUGACGUCAAAUCAUCAUGCCCCUUAUGACCUGGGCUACACACGUACUACAAUGGCCGGUACAACGGGCAGCGAAGGAGCGAUCUGGAGCCAAUCCUAUCAAAGCCGGUCUCAGUUCGGAUUGCAGGCUGCAACUCGCCUGCAUGAAGUCGGAAUUGCUAGUAAUCGCGGAUCAGCAUGCCGCGGUGAAUACGUUCCCGGGUCUUGUACACACCG